rnacentral:lncRNA from 1 species
UCCAUCAAUCAAAAUUUUUUUGGAUUAAAUAAAAUUUUUUGAUUGGUCGAUUGAUGUGGCACUGCGCAGCGCAGCAGCGCAGUCGGGUUUAUAUAAACCCUAUCUGUGCCUAGGGUUUCUAGAGAUUGCCCCCCAUCCAGCAAAAGCUAGCCACCCCUCCUCUUCUCCACAUCCUCCCUAGUGCUCCCUCUCCCCUCUUCACGCCU